UCGAGGGGCAUCGGGAUUGAAGCUUGCUUCAAUUGCCGGCGACCGGCGCACGGGUGCGUAACGCGUAUGUAACCUACCUAUAACAGGGGCAUAACACUGAGAAAUUGGUACUAAUUCCCCAUAAUAUUCGGAGAGGCAUCUCUCCGGGUUGAAAACUCCGGUGGUUAUAGAUGGACAUGCGUUGUAUUAGCUAGUUGGUGAGGUAACGGCUCACCAAGGCAACGAUACAUAGGGGGACUGAGAGGUUAACCCCCCACACUGGUACUGAGACACGGACCAGACUCCUACGGGAGGCAGCAGUGAGGAAUAUUGGUCAAUGGACGCAAGUCUGAACCAGCCAUGCCGCGUGCAGGAAGACGGCUCUAUGAGUUGUAAACUGCUUUUGUACGAGGGUAAACUCACCUACGUGUAGGUGACUGAAAGUAUCGUACGAAUAAGGAUCGGCUAACUCCGUGCCAGCAGCCGCGGUAAUACGGAGGAUUCAAGCGUUAUCCGGAUUUAUUGGGUUUAAAGGGUGCGUAGGCGGUUUGAUAAGUUAGAGGUGAAAUCCCGGGGCUUAACUCCGGAACUGCCUCUAAUACUGUUAGACUAGAGAGUAGUUGCGGUAGGCGGAAUGUAUGGUGUAGCGG
rnacentral:rRNA from 1 species